AACGCACAUUGCGCCUCUCUUUAUCGGGAGGCAUGCCUGUCUGAGCGUCAUUAAAAUCAAUAAACCCUCGGGUUUGUGUUGGGCUCCACGCUUCGGCGUGCUGCCUCGAAGCCAUGGGUCUAAACUGCGGACGAGCUCCUCUGGACUUACCGUGGCGGAGGCCUCUUCAAUAUUUGACCUCAGAUCAGGUAGGAAGACCGCCUGAACUUAA
rnacentral:misc_RNA from 1 species